AGGGGGAGCUCCGCCCCCUCCUCAGGAGCAAUCUGGAUGACGACCUGAAUGCUCCGUGUCUUCAUUGCUGCUGCACUCUUAUCUGUAUUUUACAGAUGACUCACUGUGGCAGAUAAUCUGCUCAGAUGAUGGACGGCUGCCGCGCCGCAGUCACCAGGAGCAGCGGAGCCACCUGGUUUCAGGGACCAAUAAAGUUUCAUCUCCCGUCUCCUCUGCAGCCACUUCUACAGGCCGUUUCUAGGACCAGUGGGCGAGUGCUAAUAGUCCCAUAGCAACAAGCAGACAACAACGAUGGAAGCCUCCCACUUUGAAACCUCUGGAUUACAUCAUCUCCAUAUUCAACUCCAGGUGUCUCCCCCCCCCCCCUGGUAAGAUAAAACUCUACUUUCAUGCCCUACUGUGGCAAUAAAGUGGUCAUUAAUAAUGAAAUAUGAUGUGGACACUGAAGGGGCAUUGGAGACGGGAGGUAGUUGUGUUAUUUGUCACUAGACGGAGAUUGUGAACUGCUUGAUGGUGUUUGUUGGUCUGGUUAGAUUUCCUUUAGAGCAGCGGUGUCAAACAUGCGGCCCGUGGUCCAAAACCGGCCCGCCAGAGGGUCCAGUCCGGCCCCUGUUUGACUUUGCAAAGUGUAAAAAUGAGUUGUUUUGAUGAUAAAGUAAAAUACUGUUCCAGAUACCUGAGACGAGAUGUGUUGUGUCUUUGCAGAUACACUGUGACCUGUACGUUGUAACGCACAUGUGUAAAUGAUAAAAUGAGGCACAAUAUUGUUAAAAUUGCAACUUUUCUUCUUCAAAAAUGUCAGGUUGUUCAUAAUGUUUAGUAAAAAGAUUAAAUUAGAACAUUUUCCGAAUGUAUUUGUACUUUUUUGCACUAAAACAAAGAGAAAAGUUGUGAAUUGUUGUUAUUUACAGGUUAUCAUGCUGUGAUGUUACUGCUCCGGUCCACUUGAGAUCACAUUGUGCUGCAUGUGGCCCCUGAACUAACAUGAGUUUGACCCCCCUGCUGUAGAGCCUGUCAUGUCCAGCUCCUGAUCUGGUAGUAAUAUUGAGAAUACAGUUGUUGCUCUUUGGCACCUCAUCAGAUUUGGGUUAGCGGGAGCAUUUUGUUUACAGGUCUGUCCUGUUAUACUGCAGAAACAAACAGCAGUAAAACAUCAUGUGAGGUACAACAUGUAUAAGAGAAUGAAGUGACCAUUAAAUAUCAAAAUGUGCUGUGUGAGCAUAAUCUCAUAAACAAGGCUGGAUUAGCAAAGCAGGCACCUGCCCCGAGGCUCCAGGUUCAUGCAUUACUGGAGUUAAAGGUAAUGAUGAUCGAGUGUGUACUAAACAUAAAGGGAAAUGAUAGGGGAGCAACUCCUCCACUUGUACCAUGUAGUAAAAUCUAUUCUUUAUUCAUGCAUGUUGCUUUUUAAAUGAACUUGUACCAACACAUGCACACGCAGGGGGAGGACCAGCGUCCACAUGGGGUUAAUCUGGCUCCUUUAACAACAGAAAGCAGCUGUGGAUCCUGAUAAUGUAGAUGUUUUAUCGGUGACAAUAAAGACAACAUCUGUUUACUCGUCCAAAUGUAUAACUUUGACUCAGAUGUUGCAAUAAACUGUAGUUUUAGACUGGAGGGGGUCUGAGAUUAAUCAUGUCCACACCGAACCUCCUGCAGCAGGAUGCACGUGGGGACUUUGGCUCUUUUCUCUUUGUUUUAAAUUGGGUUUUAUGAGAACAUACAUUUGAUGUCCACAGAUUGUGCUUCCAGGCCGUUUUGGCCCUCAUGUUGUUUUGAUUGUGUUCCACCUUUCAAUCAUUAACUCUGAGCGGAUGAAGGAUGCACGGAAAUCAUAAAGUUCGGGGUCUGAUCACUACUCAACUUUUAUUGUAUUAUCAUAAGACAAAUCAAU
ensembl:lncRNA